rfam:Trichobilharzia regenti genome assembly, scaffold: TRE_scaffold0031664
AUCCAGAUGAUGAGUCCCAAAUAGAACGAAAUGCGCAUCGUGGCUAGAU